rnacentral:tRNA from 1 species
GGCCCCGUGGCCUAGCCUGGACUAGGGCGCCGGCCUGCGGAGCCGGAGGUCCCGGGUUCAAAUCCCGGCGGGGCCGCCA